rnacentral:rRNA from 1 species
AACGUAGGAGACAAACGUUAUCCGGAAUCACUGGGCGUAAAGCGCACGUAGGCGGACUCUUAAGUCGGUGGUGAAAUCCUGGAGCUCAACUCCAGAACUGCCUUCGAUACUGAGAGUCUCGAGUCCGGGAGAGGUGAGUGGAACUGCGAGUGUAGAGGUGAAAUUCGUAGAUAUUCGCAAGAACACCAGUGGCGAAGGCGGCUCACUGGCCCGGUACUGACGCUGAGGUGCGAAAGCGUGGGGAGCAAACAGG